UACGAAGGGGGCUAGCGUUGCUCGGAAUCACUGGGCGUAAAGGGCUCGUAGGCGGCCAACUAAGUCAGACGUGAAAUCCCUCGGCUUAACCGGGGAACUGCGUCUGAUACUGGAUGGCUUGAGUUCGGGAGAGGGAUGCGGAAUUCCAGGUGUAGCGGUGAAAUGCGUAGAUAUCUGGAGGAACACCGGUGGCGAAGGCGGCAUCCUGGACCGACACUGACACUGAGGAGCGAAAGCCAGGGGAGCAAACGGG
rnacentral:rRNA from 1 species